AAUAAAGUGCCUGAAAAAAGGAUUGUUUUGAUAGAACAAAUCAUGUAAGAAACUACCUUUAUUA
rnacentral:tRNA from 1 species